UUCUUUUAUAUUAUUUUUUUCUCCCAUCCCUCCUUUUUCCCCCUUACGUAUGUGAAAGGACACAAUGUGAAACCCAGUGUAUUUGAUGUGCUAAUGGUGAACAUAUUACACUAUAUGCAAAUUCUCCACCUGCCCCUCCUACAUAAGCAGUGGUCUGUAUGUGCUGGUGAGGAGGAGAAGAGCAUCUCCAUUCAGUUUAGUCUAAUACGAAACAACAAUGAUCUCCUCAGUGCUGCUGCUGCUGCUGCUAACAGCUUUCAGUGGUGUAGACUGUGUGGAGCUCACUCAGGCUGAUUCUAAGGUAGUAAAACCUGGAGAAUCGUUCUCCAUCUCCUGUAAGAUCUCAGAGUCGAGCUACUGUAUUAACUGGAUACGGCAGCCUGCUGGGAAAACACUGGAAUGGCUUGGAUAUCUGUGUAGUAGUGGUAGCACUAAUAUCAAAGACACAGUGAAGAGCAAGAUCAGUUUCAGUCAGGACACGUCCAGCAGCACAGUGUUUUUACAAGGCCAGAACUUUCAGUCUGGGGACACAGCUGUUUAUUACUGCGCCAGAGAGCCACAGCGUUACAACCACCCAGCUGACCUGAACAAAAACAUCCUCAACAUCCUCAACAACUCACUGAUUACAUGUACUCAGCAUUCCUCUCCAUGUUUAUUUUUAUGUGAUGUCUUCUAUUCCAAUCCAUACCUGCUUUGCUAA